rnacentral:rRNA from 1 species
UACGUAGGGGGCAAGCGUUGUCCGGAUUUAUUGGGCGUAAAGAGCGUGUAGGCGGCCUGGAAGGUCAGCUGUGAAAACUCGAGGCUCAACCUCGAGACGUCGGUUGAAACCACCUGGCUAGAGUCCGGAAGAGGAGAGUGGAAUUCCCGGUGUAGCGGUGAAAUGCGCAGAUAUCAGGAGGAACACCGAUGGCGAAGGCAGGUCUCUGGGCCACUACUGACGCUGAGAAGCGAAAGCAUGGGGAGCGAACAGG